AUACUAAAAGUAAGAUAUCCUUAUCAUAUAGCUAUGCCACGUAUUACAAAAUAAUCAACCAAUCAUAUUCUUUUUUUUUUACACAUCAGAUGGGCCUCAACGUGUGGGCUUCGUCCUACUUCUGCUGUUCACGUUUGAGCUUGGUCUAGCAACUCUUUUCAGCUCCGGGUCCGUUAUCCCCGAAGACUUCGACCUCUCUAUCGACUUCCCCUUCUUGAUAUCGUAUAGGUUGUUCUUUGUCGCCGUCGCGUGUGAGGCGCUGUAGCUCCUGAAGUCUCCGGCUCUUGGACCCCCGUCGUAAGGCUGGAUCUGCAUCCCUCCGUCUCCAUACGGUGUUCAAACCAGGUUGACUUCUACAUAAUACCAAAUACAUCUAUUCCAAUAUCUAUCUCCCUCUUCACAUCUCCUUCCGCUCCUCUCUACUCCAAUGAACCAUGCCGUGUCUGCAUCUAUCGGACUUGCACCUUCGAGAAACGAAAAGCAGGAUCUGAAGAAGCUGUGGUGUGGUGUGGAGAUGUCAAAGGAAGGUAGCGGUGGUGGUGGUAAUGGAGCCGAGCAAGAAGAAGAAGAAGAGAAAGGCGGAGAAGAAGAGAAGACAGAGAUGCGAGGAGGAUGGAGUCGGAAGAUGACGACGGCUGCGUAGAUUAGGUUUUGGUUUAUUAGUUUUGGUUUAGUUAGGUGUUGGUUUAAUCUGUUUUAGUUUUUGGUUUAAUGUAUUCUGGUUUAUUAAUUUUUUUUAUCCUGAUUUAGUUUUAUACUUAA